rnacentral:lncRNA from 1 species
GAGAAGAGACCAGAAGAAUAAGAAGGAGAAGGAGAAGGAGAAGAACAGACAUAAUAAAAAGGAGCAGGUGAAAAAGAAGAACGAGAAGAAGACCAGAAGGAGAAGGAGAGGUGAAAAAAAAGGAGAUAAAGAACAAGAAGAAGAUCAGAAGAAGAAGAACAACAACAACAAGAAGAAAAAGAAAAAAAAGAAGGAUAACAAGAAGACUACCAGAAGAAGGAGGAGACCAAGAAGA